rfam:Triticum aestivum genome assembly, contig: Triticum_aestivum_CS42_TGACv1_scaffold_032165_1BL
UUUGUACUCCCUCCGUCCCAAAAUUCUUGACUUAAAUUUGUCUAAAUACGGAUGUAUAUAGUUACAUUUUAGUGUUAGAUACAUCCGUAUCUAAACAAAUGUAAGACAAGAAUUUUGGGACGGAGGGAAUACUAC